AUACAGAGGGUGCAAGCGUUAAUCGGAAUUACUGGGCGUAAAGCGCGCGUAGGCGGUUUGUUAAGUUGGAUGUGAAAGCCCCGGGCUUAACCUGGGAGGGUCAUUCAAAACUGGCAGACUAGAGUGCGGUAGAGGGUAGUGGAAUUCCUAGUGUAGCGGUGAAAUGCGUAGAGAUUAGGAGGAACACCAGUGGCGAAGGCGACUGCCUGGACCAACACUGACGCUGAGGUGCGAAAGCGUGGGUAGCGAACAGGAUUAGAAACCCCAGUAGUCC
rnacentral:rRNA from 1 species